CAGCAGCCACGGUAAUACAGAGGGUGCGAGCGUUAAUCGGAUUUACUGGGCGUAAAGCGUGCGUAGGCGGCUUCUUAAGUCGGAUGUGAAAUCCCUGAGCUUAACUUAGGAAUUGCAUUCGAUACUGGGAAGCUAGAGUAUGGGAGAGGAUGGUAGAAUUCCAGGUGUAGCGGUGAAAUGCGUAGAGAUCUGAAGGAAUACCGAUGGCGAAGGCAGCCAUCUGGCCUAAUACUGACGCUGAGGUACGAAAGCAUGGGGAGCAAACAGGAUUAGAUACCCCCGUAGUCCCUGUCUCUUAUAC
rnacentral:rRNA from 1 species